rnacentral:rRNA from 1 species
GCGUGCUUAACACAUGCAAGUCGUCGCGAGAAAGGGGCUUCGGUCCUGAGUAGAGCGGCGCACGGGUGAGUAACGCGUGGGUGAUCUCCCUUGGUGAUCGGGAUAACAGCGGGAAACUGCUGCUAAUACCGGAUAAUCUUCAUGUUUGACUUCAUGGGGUAAAGGUGGCCUCUGCUUGCAAGCUACCACAUCAAGAUGAGCCCGCGUCUCAUUAGCUAGUUGGUAGGGUAAUGGCCUACCAAGGCUACGAUGAGUAGCUGGUCUGAGAGGAUGACCAGCCACACUGGGACUGGAACACGGCCCAGACUCCUACGGGAGGCAGCAGUGGGGAAUAUUGCGCAAUGGGCGAAAGCCUGACGCAGCGACGCCUCGUGAGGGAUGAAGGUCUUCGGAUCGUAAACCUCUGUCAAGAGGGAAGAAACCCUUGGAUUCGAAUAGGGUCCUUGGCUGACGGUACCUCAAAAGGAAGCACCGGCUAACUCCGUGCCAGCAGCCGCGGUAAUACGGAGGGUGCAAGCGUUAAUCGGAAUCACUGGGCGUAAAGCGCUCGUAGCGGUUUGGUCAGUCAGAUGUGAAAGCCCUCGGC